GCCAGGCGUGGUGGUGCACACCUGUAAUCCCAGUGUCUUGGGAGGCUUAGGCAGGAGGAUUGGGAGUUCAAAGCCAGCCUCAGUAAAAGCAAAGUGCUAAGCAACUCAGUGAGACCCUGUCUCUA
rnacentral:sRNA from 1 species